rnacentral:rRNA from 1 species
UACGAAGGGGGCUAGCGUUGUUCGGAAUUACUGGGCGUAAAGCGCACGUAGGCGGAUAUUUAAGUCAGGGGUGAAAUCCCAGAGCUCAACUCUGGAACUGCCUUUGAUACUGGGUAUCUUGAGUAUGGAAGAGGUAAGUGGAAUUGCGAGUGUAGAGGUGAAAUUCGUAGAUAUUCGCAAGAACACCAGUGGCGAAGGCGGCUUACUGGGUCC